rnacentral:rRNA from 1 species
CUACGGGGCGCACCAGUGGGGAAUAUUGCACAAUGGGCGCAAGCCUGAUGCAGCCAUGCCGCGUGUAUGAAGAAGGCCUUCGGGUUGUAAAGUACUUUCAGCGGGGAGGAAGGGAGUAAAGUUAAUACCUUUGCUCAUUGACGUUACCCGCAGAAGAAGCACCGGCGAACUCCGUGCCAGCAGCCGCGGUAAUACGGAGGGUGUAAGCGUUAAUCGGAAUUACUGGGCGUAAAGCGCACGCAGGCGGUUUGUUAAGUCAGAUGUGAAAUCCCCGGGCUCAACCUGGGAACUGCAUCUGAUACUGGCAAGCUUGAGUCUCGUAGAGGGGGGUAGAAUUCCAGGUGUAGCGGUGAAAUGCGUAGAGAUCUGGAGGAAUACCGGUGGCGAAGGCGGCCCCCUGGACGAAGACUGACGCUCAGGUGCGAAAGCGUGGGGAGCAAACAGGAUUAGAUACCCGUGUAGUC